CCCAGCCCCGAGACCUGCGGGGUGACCCACUGGACUUGAGGCUGAGUAGCUAGCGUGCGGCCUUGCAUUCUCCCUGUGCUGGAGGACGCGGCUUCACGCUGCCACCAGGGAUUUUCCUGUCACCAGCGAGGGGCCUAAGACUACCCACAUGCUGUCCUGAAGACCACCCAGCAACCCGGACUCUAGAGGAAACCGCCCAAGUAAAUCAAGAAUGAGUUCCGGGGGGCAGCAUGAUUCAAGAUUAAAUGGCGUCACUAUAAAAAUUGCCUGCGCCAUGACGGGCUGGGGCCGACCACCAGGCCCCUGAAGAAGGCCUACCGGUGCUAUAGGGGAACACAAAAAAAAAAGUGGAAACAAAGAAGUUUAUGCAAAAAAAAUCAUUUCAAUCAAAAAAAUCGAUUUAAAUAAGAAAAAUCUCCUUUAAAUCAAUUAAGUCGAUUUUUUUUUUUUUUUUUUUUAGAACAUCAUGAUUUUUUCCAACCCUGCCUCUCGGAAACUCUUGGGAGCUUUCUGUAACCUGGGAGAGCUCUUUGGAACCCCUGAUAACUCUUGGGAGCUUUCCGUAACUUAGGAGACUCUUGGAAAUGCUUACGAAAUCUCUUAAAACUCCCUCAAACUCUACUGAAAGGAUCACCCCAUUUCCGCAGGUCCUGGUGGCACCCGACCCGAGCUACUGGAACUGCCGUUGGCUGGCGGAUGAGAUCUUCCUGACGGAUGUGACGGCCAACUUCCUGACUGUGAGGAUCGGGGAGUGCAAGAAGCGGCCGGAGGUUUUCAAGGACACGACCGACCCAAACCAGAAUUCCCAGUGCUCGAUUAUGUGAUGUGUUGUGAUUGUGAAUAUGUCUUGACUUUGCUGGUGAAGGUUUCCAUGGUGAACAGGAUCAUACUGAAAAGAUAUUAGCCGGGGGUCUUCAAGGACACGACCGACCCAAACCAGAAAUCCUAGUACUCAAUUAUGUGGUUAUUGUGAAUAUGUCUUGACUUUGCUGGUGAAGGUUUCCAUGGUGAACAGGAUCAUACUGAAAGGAUAUUAGCAUGGAAAGAUAUUGUUGUGCUGUGUUCGUGGGAGUCCCGUAAACAAACAUGUGGGUACAGCUAUUACUGGACGCAAAAUGUUAUUGUAAAGCCUGCUGGAUACAUUUGACAAGCAUAGAAAACCACCUAAAAAUUAUAAGUUAAAACUCUGUCAUCACUUGCAGAAUUGGAAGUCCAAACAAUCUAAACUGAUACUUCAAAGGAAGCCCACAGCCUUGGGAUUACUUUAGGCAUUUGGGUUUGAGUCUUGGUGCAAAGCCAGAUUUUUAAGAAAUUUAUUUAUAAAAUUGUGCGGGCCGUGAACACCUCGUGUGUGACCCCCUGCUGCUCACAAGCCGUACACCAAUUAA